UACGUAGGGUGCAAGCGUUAAUCGGAAUUACUGGGCGUAAAGCGUGCGCAGGCGGUUGUGCAAGACAGAUGUGAAAUCCCCGGGCUUAACCUGGGAACUGCAUUUGUGACUGCACGGCUAGAGUACGGCAGAGGGGGAUGGAAUUCCGCGUGUAGCAGUGAAAUGCGUAGAUAUGCGGAGGAACACCGAUGGCGAAGGCAGUCCCCUGGGCCUGUACGUGACGCUCAUGCACGAAAGCGUGGGGAGCAAACAGGAAUUGAGAUACCCGGGAGUAA
rnacentral:rRNA from 1 species